GAUGAACGCUAGCGGCAGGCUUAAUACAUGCAAGUCGAGGGGGCAGCAAUGUCACCGGCGAACGGGUGCGUAACGCGUAUGCAACCUACCUACAUCAGGGGGAUAGCCCUAGGAAACUGGGAUUAACACCGCAUAAUAUAAGCUACGGCAUCGUAACUUAUUGAAAUAUUUAUAGGAUGUAGAUGGGCAUGCGUAGGAUUAGCUAGUUGGUAAGGUAACGGCUUACCAAGGCUACGAUCCUUAGGGGCUGUGAGAGGAGGAUCCCCCACACUGGGACUGAGAUACGGGCCAGACACCUACGGGAGGCAGCAGUAGGGAAUAUUGGGCAAUGGAGGCAACUCUGACCCAGCCAUGCCGCGUGCAGGAAGACGGUCCUCUGGAUUGUAAGCUGCUUUUGAAUGGGAAGAAUGUGCUCCUUGCGAGGAGUAAUGACGGUACCAUUAGAAUAAGCCACGGCUAACUACGUGCCAGCAGCCGCAGUAA
rnacentral:rRNA from 1 species